GCCGGAACUUCCUGGCAUUUCGGUAGUAUUCGAGUCGAGCUGGAGCGUCUGCGGUCUCGAGUUUGAGCACGAAGUAACGCCUAUGCCCAUGCUUCUGCUUCCUCAGGUAGCCGCGUUUGCAGACUUCAUCCCCGACGGGGAGGUCCUCCUCUUCGGAUUCCGAGUCUGACCGGGAGCCAGUGGCUGUGGAGAGCCACAUGGCUCCCGGACAGGACGACCCGGUCCCAAUGAGUGCGGUCCGGGUUCCCGAGGAAAGGAGCGGGGUGGUCGCCACUGCUGCUAGAGCUGCGGAGGCUGCUGCUGCUGCUGAGGCUCUCAGUCUCCUAAGCGCUUGGUGGCCAGAGAAGGAGCAACUCGCCAUGGUGAUGCACGGUGGUUUUAAGCUCACAUUUUCCCUUCCGAUCAUCGCAGUUUGCUCUAGUUCCACCCUCCUCUCACUUUGAGCUGUGCUUCUUAGCAGAAAAAGGCAGUUAUCUCUGGAAACGUGGUAA
rnacentral:lncRNA from 1 species